UACGUAGGGUGCGAGCGUUGCUCGGAUUGACUGGGCGUAAAGGGCGCGUAGGCGGAUAGUACAGUCAGGCGUGAAAUUCCUGGGCUCAACCUGGGGGCUGCGUUUGAUACGUAUUGUCUGGAGUUCGGAAGAGGGUCGUGGAAUUCCCAGUGUAGAGGUGAAAUGCGCAGAUAUCAGGAGGAACACCAAUGGCGAAGGCAGCUCGCUGGGACGGUACUGACGCUGAGACGCGAAAGCGUGGGGAGCAAACAGG
rnacentral:rRNA from 1 species